CCCUUAGAUGUUCGGGGCCGCACGCGCGCUACACUGAAGGAAUCAGCGUGCCGUCGUCCUGGCCCGGAAGGGCCGGGCAACCCGUUGAACCUCCUUCGUGCUAGGGAUCGGGGCUUGCAAUUCUUGCCCGUGAACGAGGAAUUCCCAGUAAGCGCGAGUCAUCAGCUCGUGUUGAUUACGUCCCUGCCCUUUGUACACACCGCCCGUCGCUACUACCGGUUGAAUGGUUUAGUGAGACCCUCGGAUCCGUCCCGGCGCGGCCGUUCGCGGCCGCGCCGGCGCGCGGAGAAGACGGUCGAACUUGAUCAUUUAGAGGAAGUAAAAGUCGUAACA
rnacentral:rRNA from 1 species